AUUCAAAAUUUGCUCGGCGCCCUCCUCUGCUCUCUAUCCUGUAGACCUGGUCCACCGCUCUGCACACUGACGCUCUCUCUGCUCUGCAGACCCUGCAGACCGUGUUGACUCGUCCUCUCUCUCCCCGUUCUCCGUUCCGUUGCGGGGAGAACAAAAAUCGCAGGUGUGCUUCCAUAUGCUCUUCCCCCUCCGCUGGUUGCUUCCAUCUCCCCCACCCUGACACCGACGCUGCCGACGCUCCUCCGCCUCCGCCUUCGCCCCUGACGCCGACGCCGACGCCGACGCCCCUCCGCCUCCCUCUCGCGAUCUCCGCCUUCGUCCGUGUCUGUUCUGACAGUAUUAUUGCUUACUGAUGUGGAGAGAGGAGCUCCUGUUUUACUGUGGUGUACUGUUGCAGAUGAGGAGGAGAAAGGACCCGUGAAUCCUUAUGAUGGCAAAGUGUAUGUUCGACGGGAUGCCAUGUCAAAUAAAGCUGCUUCAAGACUUCUCCACCAUGAGUAUCAGUUGCUGCAUGACCAGCCCACAAGAAACCAUACCCCUGGACGGAUUGCCCAAACUCACUAUCUUGAUGUCCCGAUGGAUGGGCCAACUACCAGAGUGUCAUCUAUUCAUGGAAGUGAGAAGCUGCCUAGUGUUGAUGGUGUUUGAGGUCACCGAUUGCGAGUAUGCCGUGUCUUGCAAGAAGAUAGAGAGCGAAACAGUGUUUUAUCCCCUCUGAGAGAUGAUCAUUCCCUUCAGCCGAGAGAGUCUUUUGUUAACAUUCAAAUGGAUGCUCACCAAGGAAGCCAUCCAUUUAUUGGUCAAGAAGAUUCUUCUACCCUGCUUGACAGGACAAUUUUGCAUGAUACUUCUGACCUGCAUGUCAAGAGAAAACGCAAGAUUGAAGAAGUCCAGAUCGCUAGGGAAGUUGAAGCUAAUGAAAAGUGAAUUCGCAAAGCACUAGAGAAAGAAAAUAUUUUGAGGAGAAAGGCUGAGGAACAAUUGAGGAAAGAGAUGGAAAGAUUUGAUUGUGAAAGAAGGAAGGAAGAAGAAUGGUUGAUGCGUGAACAGCAUAGAGAGGAGGAGAGAUUGCUACUUGAGAAAAGGCGAGAAUCAGAGCGACGGGAGAAGUAUUUACAGAAAGAAUCUAUUAAGGCAGAGAAAAAGAGACAAAAAGAAGAGCUUCGUCGAGAAAAAGAAGCAGAGAGACGAAAAGCUGCAGUGGAGAAGGCCACUGCUAGCAGAAUUGCCAAGGAAUCCAUGGAGCUUAUGGAGGAUGAAUAGCUGGAGCUGAUGGAAUUGGCCGCUGCAAGCAAGGGGUUGCAAUCUCGAUCAUGCCACUAUGCAGAACCUUGAGUUGUUCAGAGUAAAGGAGCUGAUUUUGAUAUCUUGAAAGAGAUAUAAAGAGACCAUUGGCAGUUCAACCAUGGACCAACUCAGAGGAGAACAUUGGGAAUCUUCUUAUGGUGCUCUGUUUGGAUGAGUACAGCAAGCGUGGCUUGGGCCAUACAAACUGCGUCCGGACGGCAACAUUUUCUACUCCGUCAUCAGCUUUGCCGGUGACUGCCUCGUCGUGGUGGGGUCCUGGGCAAUUUGGAG